AUACGGAGGGUCCAAGCGUUAUCCGGAUUUAUUGGGUUUAAAGGGUCCGUAGGCGGGAAAAUAAGUCAGUGGUGAAAUCCUGCAGCUUAACUGCAGAACUGCCAUUGAAACUGUUUUUCUUGAGUAUAGAUGAAGUGGGCGGAAUAUAUCAUGUAGCGGUGAAAUGCAUAGAUAUGAUAUAGAACACCGAUUGCGAAGGCAGCUCACUAAACUAUUACUGACGCUGAGGGACGAAAGCGUGGGGAGCAAACAGGAUUAGAAACCCCGGUAGUCC
rnacentral:rRNA from 1 species